AUGAACGCUAGCGGCAGGCUUAACACAUGCAAGUCGAGGGGUAUUUAUCUUCGGAUAGAGAGACCGGCGCACGGGUGCGUAACGCGUAUGCAAUCUACCUUUUACAGAGGGAUAGCCUAGAGAAAUUUGGAUUAAUACCUCAUAGUAUAUAGCCUCGGCAUCGAGAUUAUAUUAAAGUCACAACGGUAAAAGAUGAGCAUGCGUCCCAUUAGCUAGUUGGUAAGGUAACGGCUUACCAAGGCUACGAUGGGUAGGGGUCCUGAGAGGGAGAUCCCCCACACUGGUACUGAGACACGGACCAGACUCCUACGGGAGGCAGCAGUGAGGAAUAUUGGACAAUGGGCGCAAGCCUGAUCCAGCCAUGCCGCGUGCAGGAUGACGGUCCUAUGGAUUGUAAACUGCUUUUAUACGAGAAGAAACACUGCUACGUGUAGCAGCUUGACGGUAUCGUAAGAAUAAGGAUCGGCUAACUCCGU
rnacentral:rRNA from 1 species